rnacentral:lncRNA from 1 species
UGGGAUGAUUUGUCUCUUUAUCACUAUCAUGAGUGGUGAGUAUCUGACCAAAAAGUUUGAAAUCACCAUUUCUGCAUGGUUUGUCUGUAUCGGAUAAACUCCUCGAAUGGGAUCUUGAUUGAUCAGUUAGUUCUUCUACUUUUGUGGAUAGAAGAGGAUUUUCUGAUGCUGAACUGUUAGGUUUUGAGCUACUACAUUUACGUAGAAAAUCUUGGACAAUUUCUGGAGAAGGUAGAACCACUUCAGAAUUUGACAUGCUUUGAGACUUAGAAUGCGGUAGACAACUAAUAUCUCCAUUCAUUUCUUUCUUGGUUGGAAUAUGCAGGGGAUAGUCCCUGAGAUCCUGGGAGGACCCACCGGGUGGAUGCCCUGAAAUGUGUUGCUGAUGGUCUGCAAUGUUAACAGAUGUAUUACCCUGCUUAGAC